rnacentral:SRP_RNA from 1 species
UCGCACUAGUCGGGGAGAUAGCGGUGCCCUGUACCUGCAAUCCGCUAUAGCAGGGAUGAAUUCCCACACCCGGGCAAGUUUUGAGUAUCGUCUGGACCAUGUAAGCGGUGUUGAGGGACCGGUCUUGCGCAACGGGAUCCCGUGAACCAUGUCAGGUGGGGAACCAAGCAGCAUUAAGCGGAUCUUCCCGUGUGCCGCGGGGUUGCCGUUCCGGAGCUGGCUGCAUGGAUACCGGAUAUUCAGCUUUCUCAAAUGUGGGUGUGCGA